rnacentral:rRNA from 1 species
GAUACCCCACUAUGCUCAGCCCUAAACAUAGACAGCACCAAACACGCCGCUGUCCGCCAGAGAACUACAAGUGAAAAGCUAAAAACUCAAAGGACUUGGCGGUGCUCCACACCGUCCUAGAGGAGCCUGUCCUAUAAUCGAUACCCCACGUUCUACCCCACCACUUUUUGCAUCUCAGCCUAUAUACCGCCGUCGUCAGCUUACCUUGUGAAAGAAACAAAAUAAGCAAAAUAGUCUAUAACGAACACGUCAGGUCAAGGUGUAGCAUAUAAAAUGGAAGAGACGGGCUACAUUUUCUACCACAGAAAAAACGAACGGGACAGUGAAACCUGCCCCUAAAGGCGGAUUUAGAAGUAAGACAAGCAAGAAAACUUUUCUUAACCCCGCUCUGGAGCGCGCACACACC